AGCUUGCUUUUCUUGAUUAGUGGCGCACGGGUGAGUAAUGCAUAGAUAAUGUGCCCCUUAGUUCGGGAUAGCCACUGGAAACGGUGAUUAAUACCGGAUACUCCUUCUUGUUAUAAGACAAGUCGGGAAAGUUUUUCGCUAAGGGAUCAGUCUAUGUUCCAUCAGCUUGUUGGUGAGGUAAUGGCUCACCAAGGCUAUGACGGAUAUCUGGUUUGAGAGGAUGAUCAGACACACUGGAACUGAGACACGGUCCAGACUCCUACGGGAGGCAGCAGUGAGGAAUAUUGCACAAUGGAGGAAACUCUGAUGCAGCAACGCCGCGUGGAGGAUGACGCAUUUCGGUGUGUAAACUCCUUUUAUUAGGGAAGAUAAUGACGGUACCUAAUGAAUAAGCACCGGCUAACUCCGUGCCAGCAGCCGCGGUAAUACGGAGGGUGCAAGCGUUACUCGGAAUCACUGGGCGUAAAGGGUGCGUAGGCUGGCUUUUAAGUCAGAUGUGAAAUCCAAUGGCUCAACCAUUGAACUGCAUUUGAAACUGAAAGCCUAGAGUUCAGAAGGGGCAGAUGGAAUUAGUGGUGUAGGGGUAAAAUCCGUAGAUAUCACUAGGAAUAUCAAAAGCGAAGGCGAUCUGCUGGG
rnacentral:rRNA from 1 species